UCGAGAAUAUUCCACAAUGGGCGAAAGCCUGAUGGAGCGACGCCGCGUGCAGGAAGAAGGCCUUCGGGUUGUAAACUGCGGUAGCUAGGGAUAAAUUUCGAUGAUAGUACCUAGCGGAAAGAGGUUGGUAACUACGUGCCAGCACCCGCGGUAAUACGUAGACCUCAAGCGUUAUCCGGAUUUAUUGGGCGUAAAGUGUGGGUAGGGGGCUUGGUAAGUCAGAAGUAAAAUCAGGGGGCUUAACCUUCUGGCCGCUUUUGAUACUGCUAAGCUUUGAGGACGUUAGGGGCUUGCAGAACGCACGGUGUAGGGGUGACAUCCGUUGAUAUCGUGCGGAAUACCAAAGGCGAAGGCAGCAAGCUGGGGCGUUCCUGACCCUGAGCCACGAAAGCGUGGGGAGCAAAAAGG
rnacentral:rRNA from 1 species